GUGCGCCAGGUAGCUCAGUUGGUUUAGAGUAUGGUGCUGAUAAUGCCAAGGUUGUGGGUUUGACCCCCUUAUGGGCCACCUGCAUA